rnacentral:lncRNA from 1 species
GGCCGCCAUCUAUAAAAGGAUGGGUGUGUGGGCGUGGUGAAUAUAGCAUCAAGCAAUCAAGCUAGGGUUCCACCUUAUGCCGCCCCCUUCUCCUUCCACCAUCCACAUGCCCAAAGCCCCCAUCUGGUCAGCCACAUAGAGAAAGGAAUCAGAGAGGGAGAGAUAAGAAAAGGAGAGAAAAAGGUAGAAAAGGAGUUCUCCCAGUCCCUCAUAAUGUUCCUCCAA